rnacentral:rRNA from 1 species
CCCGCCGGCGACCGGCGCACGGGUGAGUAACACGUAUGCAACCUGCCCUCUUCAGGGGGACAACCUUCCGAAAGGGAGGCUAAUCCCGCGUAUAUCGGUUUCGGGCAUCCGAGAUCGAGGAAAGAUUCAUCGGAAGAGGAUGGGCAUGCGGCGCAUUAGCUAGACGGCGGGGUAACGGCCCACCGUGGCGACGAUGCGUAGGGGUUCUGAGAGGAAGGUCCCCCACACUGGUACUGAGACACGGACCAGACUCCUACGGAAGGCAGCAG